rnacentral:piRNA from 1 species
GUGUAACCCAGGCUGGCCUUGAAC